AUGAGAGAUUCCAAGAGGAGGGUUUCUCUGGUAACAGACACACAGAGCACAGCCUUCAUAUCUAUGUGCCUAUCAGCACAGACUUAACUGCCUGAGAGGAAAGGGGCAAAUGGCUGUUUUUAACCUUUAAUUUUAGAGAAUGUUAGACGUUUUUGACAGUUCUGCUAUUACAAUGUAUAGAUGAAAUUUGAUUCUCUAUCAUUUAAGAUUAAGC